GGUUUGCUGCCUUUGAAAUUUCCUUCUCAACUUCCACAGUUGGAUGAAGCCUCGGUGGCCCUGUGGGACACCCUGUAUAUUGGCCCUUUUCGACCUCUAUUCCAAUUUCUCGUUCUUGUUGACCGAAUUCGCGAAUCGCUUCGGCCUCUAUUCCCGCUUGAAAUAAUGCCGUUUAAAAAGAAAGAGGAUCGAUACUGGAUGCUCUCUGGAGGAUCGAGUUUCAGCGCGGAAGCUUUUACGAGAACAUGGAAAAUUUCAGACGAGCCUUAAUGGCCUGGUAAUUAAGCCCUGGAGCGAUAAUCCGCCUUUUAGAACUUCAUCGAGCCACUAAUCUAGUCAUAAUUGGAGUUUAAAUGCUGUUUUUUUGCAGCCGACAACUUUAGACCGUACCUGACGUCGUUCCAGGGCAACAAUUUUACCGACUACAUCAACGCAGUCUUUGUGGAUGGGUACACAAAGCCGCGCGAGUACAUCGUAACCGAAUGGCCACUGAAGUCCACUCUUGGAGAAUUCUGGUCGUUGGUUUACGACUAUGAGUGUUCUGCUGUUGUGGUGCUGUGCGUCCCUCCCCACAACUCGCAGCAGUUUCCUUCCUUCUGGCCGGAGGGCCGCGCUCCCAAGAAAUACGGCCCCGUAUUUACCAUCGACCACAUCUCGCACAAUCACUACUCCAAGAUCAAAACCUGGGUGUUCAGGAUCAACAAGAAGGUGAAGAAGCCAGUUUCGAAUUCUCUAUUC